rnacentral:rRNA from 1 species
GAAGGAGAAGUCGUAACAAGGUUUCCGUAGGUGAACCUGCGGAAGGAUCAUUGUCGAAACCUGCCCAGCAACACAACCUGUGGACUCGUUCAUUGUAUCGACGGGGGUCUUGCUGUAAAUCCUUGGAUUGACAACAUUCCCCGAAAAAGUCGAGGGGUAUGCCGGUCGCUUAGCAGCGUUCGGCUCCUCGAGACGCAACAAACCAACUCGGGCGCUGGUUGCGCCAAGGAACAUAAUUAAAAACUAAAGGAACUCCCUGCCAUCCCGGAAACGGUGCAUGCGUCGGGGAUUGGUUCCUUGUGGUCGUAAACAAAACGACUCUCGGCAACGGAUAUCUCGGCUCUCGCAUCGAUGAAGAACGUAGCGAAAUGCGAUACUUGGUGUGAAUUGCAGAAUCCCGUGAACCAUCGAGUCUUUGAACGCAAGUUGCGCCCAAAGCCUCGGCUGAGGGCACGUCUGCCUGGGUGUCACACAAAGUCGCCCAAGCCCAACAUCCAGUGGGAAUCGGGCGGAUAUUGGUCUCCCGUGUGCCCUUGCUCGCGGUUGGCCCAAAAUAUGAGCCUCGAUGACUGUAGUCACGACGAUCGGUGGUUUGUAGACCCUAGGACAUCGUCGUGCGCUGCCGUCUCUUGGUCACCGACGGCCCAAAAAAGCAUAACUGCUUGCUCCUAAAGCGACCCCAGGUCAGGCGGGACUACCCGCUGAGUUUAAGCAUAUCAAUAAGCGGAGGA